rnacentral:rRNA from 1 species
UACGAAGGGGGCUAGCGUUGCUCGGAAUCACUGGGCGUAAAGGGUGCGUAGGCGGGUCUUUUAAGUCAGGGGUGAAAUCCUGGAGCUCAACUCCAGAACUGCCUUUGAUACUGAAGAUCUUGAGUUCGGGAGAGGUGAGUGGAACUGCGAGUGUAGAGGUGAAAUUCGUAGAUAUUCGCAAGAACACCAGUGGCGAAGGCGGCUCACUGGCCCGAUACUGACGCUGAGGCACGAAAGCGUGGGGAGCCAAACAGG